rnacentral:lncRNA from 1 species
GCGCGCUCGCUCGCGCUCUCCUGCCUCCGGCUGCGCGGGGCGGGGCGGGGACGCCGUGUCGAUGUGUCGCCUUCUUCUCCCCCGCACCCUCCGCUGAUGUCACGCGCGCAAGCCCGGGCGCGCCUGGCGCGCGUGGUGGGAAAAGGGGGCGGUGCCGGCGGCGCCCUCAGUGGCACCAUGUAGGGAAUGGAAUGCGGGGGCGGGGCCGCCGCGGCCUCAACCCGGUCACCUCUGCUGGGAAAGCCAGGAGGGGGGAGCGAGCGCAGGGAAAUACGGUAACGGCACAGGAGCGGCAGCGGCCGCCCGGGGAAGACGGGGGCUGGCCCGCCUCCAGCCGCGCUGCCGGCGCUGGAGCUGCGGCGAGACGGCGGAGACGCGGCGAACAGAUGGCCCGGGCUGGAACCGCUCCGGUAGCCCAAGGUGAAGGGCUUGGUGCCACAACCCGCAGUCUUAGCCGCCUGCUGCAGUAA